GGUUGCAUGGUGUAGUGGCUAUCACGUUUGCCUCACACGCAAAAGGUCGCCAGUUCGAUCCUGGCUGCAAUCA